ACUUUAUCUCGCCUCUCUCUUUAUGGUGAGCAAAGCACAUGUAUCCUGAACUGAUUAACUCAUGGCCUAAGGUCUCCCGCUUUAAAAAAAAAAAAAAAAGCCAAACCUGGAAAGAUUUCUCAAAUAGAGACAAACUUGUUGCUGCCCCGAGUGGCCCGUGCGAAAGCUCUCCUAGGUUUGCACGCGCCCAGCGCAGGGCCGGGAAGUGCCGCUGCCGGGCGAGGGCCGGGGCAGAGUCCCGCCCUCCUCCCCCGGCGGCCUGCACUUGAGCCGGAACGAGGGUGAGUGCGAGGGAACAGUCUCUCCAAACUCCUUAGAAAAGAACUCUUGCAGACUGUUUACCACACUGUCCAGCUGCCCGGAAAGGUCCGACGCGUUUCCUGCACUCGUCCCAGCUCAGUUCGAACUUUUCUCCACCCGUGAUCUGAAGGCUAAAUUAUUUUUAUUCCGACUCUGAAAAGUUAAACUAAGAUCUAAAUAAAUCACUAAGGGAAAUGACCGGAAGCUGCGAAGAUCUAACUUCCAGUAACUCCUCAGAAACUCCAGUACCCUCACGGCGGCUCAGAUCUGCAAAACUCCUCGGUCCGCAGAUGUCCGGGAGGCAGUUAACUUGAGCUCGCGCGACGCCCUGCUGCACCUGCGGAGGAGGCAGGGCGUCUCCGCGCGUCUCGGAACGGCCGCACCGUACUUCCCGCGCUCCGCCCGCCAGCCUUCGGGCGGCCGCCAGCCACCCCGGCUUCCCUCGGUCACCCGCCCGCAGCCGAUCGUGCGGGGGAGAAAAAGGGAAAGGGGGACUGGCAUCCCCUCGUCUGGGGAAGCGGCAGCGCGAGGGCCCAGUCAGGCCCCCGGCUCGCAGCGAGGCCCGAACGCGCGCACACUCGGCGACCAGGGCGGUGGCGCUCCAGAGAACGGGCGGGGUGGUGGUGGCGGGGAGGUUUGAGGAGGGCGGAAGCGCCGAUGGCUGGCGAGCACUCUUGAGAGUCGCGGACCCCGGGUUUCCCCGGGUGACUAGGGUGCGGGUGCCCACGCUGUGCGCGACGCCUGGGUCACUGGCUGGAGCCCACGAGCCAGGCGCACAGCUGAGCUAGGCGGCCGCCGCCACGGAGCCUGGUGGGCGGCGC
ensembl:lncRNA